AUACUUACCUGGCCGGGGAGAUACCAUGAUCACGAAGGUGGUUUUCCCAGGGCGAGGCUCAGCCACUGCACUCUGGAUGUGCUGACCCCUGCAAUUUCCCCAAAUGUGGGAGACUCAACUGCAUAAUUUGUGGUAGUGGGGGACUGCGUCCGCACUCUCCCCUG
rnacentral:snRNA from 1 species